rnacentral:rRNA from 1 species
GUUCCUUGAACCGCAUGGUUCAAGGAUGAAAGACGGUUUCGGCUGUCACUUACAGAUGGACCCGCGGCGCAUUAGCUAGUUGGUGAGGUAACGGCUCACCAAGGCGACGAUGCGUAGCCGACCUGAGAGGGUGAUCGGCCACACUGGGACUGAGACACGGCCCAGACUCCUACGGGAGGCAGCAGUAGGGAAUCUUCCGCAAUGGACGAAAGUCUGACGGAGCAACGCCGCGUGAGUGAUGAAGGUUUUCGGAUCGUAAAGCUCUGUUGUUAGGGAAGAACAAGUGCAAGAGUAACUGCUUGCACCUUGACGGUACCUAACCAGAAAGCCACGGCUAACUACGUG